CAGUCACUUGAUUUGGCAUUUGCUUACUUCAUGUACUAGCCCACAAGCUGCCGAAAUCAAAUAGUAAUUGGACCCAAGCUUUAUCUUGGGACAGGAUAUUUAGAAGGCCUCGAUUUGGACUCACUUUGCCCCYGCUGAAAUCAAUGACAAACUCCCCAGGCAACAACAAAGCCAGGCUUUUUCAACCCCUUCUUCUGAUUUUUCCAAUAUAUUUAUUCUUAGGACAGCCAGAGAGAACAACCCCAAAAUAUUUCAUGGGAGCUUUUAGCAAGCAGGUUUGUCUCCCAGGAGUCCUCACUCGCUCCCGGCUUCUUCCGUCUGUAGAAUUGCUGGGAUCAACACAGUCUUCUCCAAAAUCCCUGCAGCUGGCAAAAUGGAUGUAUACAACUACACUCUGCAUUUCUCACCCAGAAGUCUGAGGUCCUGCCUGCUAUACCCGAGCCACAGCCAGACACUGGUUGUUACAGUUUCUUGGAAAAAGCUCCAUAGAAGCACCUUACACUCAGUUUCGCUCUACCACCAACCCUUCGAUGCACUGGCAAGCACCAACCUUCAGAACAAGGAUGCGAGGAAGCAGGUGCUCAUCCAGUUUAUGGGGCAGCUGGAGGCAGAACUUCCAGCUUUCAGCCCUGCCCACUGGAUGCUCCUGCUGGCCAGACUCACGCUGCUGCUGCUGAGCGCCGGCAAGGAGAAUAUCAGACUUUUCCUGGGCCACAUUUCCAGCCGCGACAGUUUCAGAGCCCUCGUGUCUGCCGGGAGCCAGGCAUACAUCUCCCUCUUGCCCACGGAUCUGCAAGGCACCUGGAGCGCUUUGCUGACCUUCCUCGAAAGCCAGCACGCCGCCACAGGCUCGCCAUGCGCUUGCGACCACCAAAGAAACCUCGACUGGCUGCAAGAGAACUUGUGGGCAUUCGCGGCUGUUGCUCACUGUGAAGAUUUCAUCGCACUACUGGCAGAUUUCAGCGGGGUUCGUUUGCUUUCUAACUCCACAAGCACCGAGACCUUUGCUCUUGCUCAGCUCUCGCAGCCUGCUCUACUACAGCCCCAAAGGCAGGCAGAAGGCCGAGGCCGAGGCCUCUCCUGCCUGCUCCAGUUCACUAAACAGCCAUUGCCCCAGCCGCAGCACACC
rnacentral:lncRNA from 1 species